rnacentral:rRNA from 1 species
GGUUAAGUUAGUAAGGGCGCACGGUGAAUGCCUUGGCACUAGGAGCCGAUGAA